AUUGAACGCUGGCGGCAUGCUUUACACAUGCAAGUCGAACGGUAACAGGCCGCCAGGUGCUGACGAGUGGCGCACGGGUGCGUAAUUCAUCGGAACGUGCCCAGUCGUUGGGGAUAACUACUCGAAAGAGUAGCUAAUACCCCAUACGAUCUAUGGAUGAAAUCGGGGGACCGUAAGGCCUCGCGCGAUUGGAGCGGCCGAUGUCAGAUUGGGUAGUUGGUGGGGUAAAGGCUCACCAAGCCAACGAUCUGUAGCUGGUCUGAGAGGACAACCAGCCACACUGGGAGUGAGACACGGACCAGACUACUACGGGAGGCAGCAGUGGGGAAUUUUGGACAAUGGGCGCAAGCCUGAUCCAGCAAUGCCGCGUGCAGGAAGAAGGCCUUCGGGUUGUAAACUGCUUUUGUACGGAACGAAACGGCUCUGGUUAAUACCCGGGGAUAAUGACGGUACCGUAAGAAUAAGCACCGGCUAACUACGUG
rnacentral:rRNA from 1 species